rnacentral:rRNA from 1 species
GACGAACCGUGCAAACGUUGUUCGGAAUCACUGGGCGUAAAGGGUGCGUAGGCGGGUCUUUAAGUCAGGGGUGAAAUCCUGGAGCUCAACUCCAGAACUGCCUUUGAUACUGAAGAUCUUGAGUUCGGGAGAGGUGAGUGGAACUGCGAGUGUAGAGGUGAAAUUCGUAGAUAUUCGCAAGAACACCAGUGGCGAAGGCGGCUCACUGGCCCGAUACUGACGCUGAGGCACGAAAGCGUGGGGAGCAAACAGG